GGCAGGUGUGGGCUGGUGGCCUGAGGCCCCCCUGGACCCUUGGAGGCCCCUCUCCCAACCUUGGAGGCCACGGACUGAGGGCCCAAGGUCCGGGGGUAAGAACGCCUCUGUCUGUGUGCCAGGCUUCUGCUAAAGUCACAGGAGCAGGAUAGUUAAAGACUUGACAACCCUGCCUACUUGUUUCCUAUGCCCACCACUGGGCCCUAGGAGACCUCUCAUACUUGUAUGGAUUCAAAAAGUGGCAGUUGCUGCUCUGGAUCCCAGAGCUGGGGGUGUUUACCUGGUCGCCAUGGCUCUGAGGUUCUGACAGAUUGUGAUGGAGGCUAGAGGUUCUGCUGCUGCUCAGGACUCAGCCACUGGCAGAAAGGCUUUCAGGUCUCUCCUGCUGGUCGUGCCAACCUUUCUCUCUCAUUUGAUUCUGAUUGAACAUUGAUCAGCAAAGAAGGGAUUCAGCGUGAAUUUGUGCUCUCCUCUCCAGUACAUAGAAAAGGAUGAUUCUCUACAUUUUCCUGUGGUUUCUCUCUGGUGUGAUAUUCUACCGGAUUAUUAGUUGGCAUUUUCAAGAAACAUGGCACUUUACAGGGUUUCACACAUCAAAAAGACAGUUCCCUGCCCUCAUGGAGCUUCCAGUCUAAAUCCUGACAGUGUCGAAGACAAAAAGGGAAGGCAAAGUGAACUAAGCAGUGAGCUAAGGAAGACACUGAUGUGAGGGAAAGAGGGUAGCCAAGAUUGGAAACAGAGAAAGCCCCUCUCAGACGCAAAGGAGGGGACAUGGCAGCACCUCUGAACAGGUGUCACUGUCUGCUGCUGAGUCAAACCAUUGGUCCAAUCAGUUCUUUAUGGUCUACUCAGACAACCACUCUCCAAGGCCUAAAACAAAGGCGCUGAGAGAGUUUUCUUAACAGAGAUUCUGAGGAUUCAUCUUGAGAACUAGUAUGAGCUCUGUCUCUGAGCUACAGCACAUGCACACCCCUCAGCUACAAAGCUAUGGCCCAGGAGAAAAGAGGGAACUUUGGUAGGUGCUGCUUGUCACUCCAAGGGUGAGAGAAGCUGCACCUCCCAAAUCUUACAAAUGAUAAGAAAGGCACAGGAAGCUUCAUGAGACGGGAAGCCGGCGCUCACCUGCCACCGCCACCAGAUUGAGCCCUGUGCCCGGCUGGGCAGGAAGAAAAAAACAAAGACGUGGGGUACAGAUUUUUCCUUCCCCUUCCCCAUUUCAGUUUUUUGUUUGGGGAAAUCCGGCACUGUCGAUUCUUCUCCACCUGCUGAUUGAUUCCUGGGGCGGGAGUUGAAAGCCUUGGUGAGGGAGGGGGCAUUUGGAGGAGGAGGAGGAAGCGGAGAAAGGAAACCUUCUGGACAGGAACAGCAGAGGUAAAGACAUCUUUUUAUUUAAUGUUUUUAUUUGGUGAGUAUGGAAUAUUUAAGGAGUAGGGGAGCACGCACACACACACACACACACUACCGCCCCACCACAUGCACACACAGACUCGCAUUCACACACCGAGAUACCAUCUGCAGUGUCAAUGUGGUGCCUACAUCACCCUGUACUUUCUGGUAGUGAGAUUUAAAUGUUAGUUCUGAUGCUGUGUGGAAAAAAUACGUGGGAGGGUUGUUGCCUUCACAUCCUACCUGGAGACAUUUGGCUGUCCACUGUUGGAAACAGGGUGUUCGGCAAGAUGCAUUUUUGAGCAUGGUUCUUCUUGUGCACUCAUACAAUUGUCUUUUAUCUUCUUUCUCGUCUCAAUGUCUUAAGGCCACAGGAAUGUGCUGCUGACAAUUAGCACCAAAUGGUUUCUUCUUUCAGUGAGUUAUUUCAUCCAAGGCCAAGACUCCCUGCAUCAGCAUUGAGAAUGAGGAGUUGGAAGAAGAAUAUACCUCUGGUUCACUAAACAGCGGGGAAAUGCUUGACUAACAAGCAGAAAGUUGCCAGUUCGAAUCCCUGCUGGUACUAUAUUGGGCAGCAGAGAUAUAGGGAGAUGCUGAAAGGCAUCAUCUCAUACUGCAUGGGAGGAGGCAGUGGUAAACCCCUCCUACCAAAGAAAACCGCAGGGCUCUGUGGGCACCGCCAGGAGUCAAAAUUGAAUUGAUGGCACACUUUACCUUUUACUUUUAUUAAGAUAUUCUUUUCUCAGAUGAAGGGCAACUUCAUGACCCUAGAACUGGAGCACCUUCCCUAAGAGCUGGCGGGGCGGGGGAGGUUGUGGGCUUUUUAGUUUAGCAAAAAGAAGCCUGCAGGGGAAUAUUAACAUUUCUUAACUCUGAGGACUAUGGAGGGAUUUUUUCUACAUCUCUCACUGCACUCUGGACUGAAGUCCAGAGCAGUUGAUUGGCAUUUGAUAUAGGGCAAAGAAAAGUUAUGUGGUGGGGUUUUUUUUAACCCAUGUAUGGAAUUCACUGCCACCAGAUAUGGUGAUAGGCCACUAACUUAAAAAAAAAAUUAUUAGACAUAUUCAUGGAGGAUAUGCCAAUUGAAGGCGAUUAGCCAUGAUAGUCUUGGAAUUUCCAAAUCCCGAAUGCACUCAGGUGUUGGGAACAGAUAACAGGGAAGAAUGGUUUUCUUCAAGCCUAGCUUAUGGGCUUCCUGGAGGCAUCUAGUUGUCCACUGCUGGAAACAGGCUGAUGGACUAUGCAUACAAUUCAUCUGAUUCUCCUCUCAGUGUCCAGAAGUCGCAGAGCUGGCUCAUGAACAAGCUGCUGAACACUUAUACAGUGGAGGAGUCAUCCUCUGAAGAUGGCUGUGUAAUGUGUAUUGAGCACAUACACAUUAUGAUUACAUAUGCCCUAUGAGUUAUGCUCACAUGAUGUGCUUUAGCUGUUUUCCUGUUUUUCUUCUGCCCUAUUUUGAAGUCCUGCUAAUGUUUGUCGCAUCAGCAUAUAUUAACUUCCCCACUAAGGUAGCCUCUGACCCACAAACAUCUGUGCUAAUUUAUGGAUUAAUAUAGAAAUUGGGCAACAAAACAUGUAACACAGUCUUAGAUGCUCAGGAUGGGAGGAAUCCUAGAAUUUUUCAGGAGCCCUGGGAGGUCAAAGCAAGUACCAGGACACUCAUUUUUCUCUUUUCUUAUUUCCAGUGGACAAGAUGUGGGACUGGUGGUAACCAACACCCAGUUUGACAAGGUACUCUGUUCUCAGCUGAAGUGCCACAGAAGUGGUUGAGGGAUUGGUGCAUCUUCUGGAGGAGGCCUGGGGGAGGUGUUUAAUUUAGCAACAAGAAGCCUGCAGGGGACAGUAGCAAUUAUUCUGGAUAAUUGGAGGGUGUUUUUGUUGGGAUGUAUGUGUAUAUACAUUAUCUUUGUUCUUGCCCCUGAUGUAAGUAUAUCUGCGUAUAGGCUUGGGGUAGAAUUUAGGAUGUUCAUGUCAAUCAUCAGUUCUGUAGACUGAUUGGUUAGUUUGUAUUUCUUACUGGACACUUGAGACUGUUAUUUUUCUGUUAAGAUGAUCUUUCACUCAGAGUAGGACUAUUUAUAAGUUUUCAAUAGUUAAGUAAUAAACCUUAAUAACUUUGUUUAAUAAACUUUAACAAACCUCA